GCUAACCUGCUUGUUCAUGUUAAUUCAUGUUGUAUUCCUAUUUUCUUUCUCCAAAAUAGCAAUUAAUUUCUAGGCAAGGUCCAAAGUCUUCUUCAGAAAAGCCCAGACAUGUUGGCAGAAGCCCUUGAGAAAGAUUUAUACCUGCUUCAUGUUCGUGUUACUAUUUUCUCAUUAAAAGGCAAAAGGAAUUCCAGAUUGCAGUUAAUAAUAGAAGCUGAAGAGAUUGUUGUUUGGUGACAAGCCUACCCACCAACAAAUCUAACGGGUAUAUUUCUGGCUUUAGAAGGUGAAAAUUUGCAAUGUUGUUGUGAAUGGAGGCUGAACUUGAAAGUCAAGAACAUCACUAAAAAAGUUAUUUUAUAGUAGUAUUUCAUCCAUUUUGUUCUGUGUAGCUGAAGAUUAUCAGCACAUCAUGUUGUUAAUUCUGUAAUGGCAGCUCCAGUGUACAAUCUGCUUAUCUUGUAGUAAGUGGAUAGUAUAUUCAGUUUUAAAGAGAGAAUUGUUUCACUUUUGGUGACUGUUUUCAAGUAGCAUGUGAUUGUUUCACACACAAAUUUCAUUUAGAUUUUCUUUAAUAAACAUUUUGCCAAAUCUGCA
ensembl:lncRNA